UUUGUUAAGAGCUUUUGUGCUUUCAGCUGAUUCCUUAACUGUGGAGUCUCUAUUGGAGCUCUUGGAUGAGGAUAGCUUGCGAAAGGAUACCGCACUUCCUUCUCCAGAGUGGUCUUCAGACCAUAUAGCACUCUUAGCUGGAUUUCGGUGCAAGCCUAGAACUAGACGCUAAUAAUAGGUCUCUCCAAAGAAAAUUUUCAAAAAUGGUUGCUCAGAAUGUUGAAGAGCAAAGAAAGUUAUUGUAAGAAUGAUAGAUCAUAUCCUCCAAUGGACUUUUUAGUUGUAUCCCCUUGUGGGAUGUUUUGCUAUGAGCUCCUUUGUAUCAUGCGAUCAUUGUCUCAUAGAGAAAUUAUGAAAAUGCGAUAGUGAAUUUCGUCCCUUUUUCUUCUUAAAUAGAAAUAUAAUUAGUAAUAUCUGCUGUGCAAUGUUAUCUCAAAAUUUUUAUUUGAAAGUAACAUUGGCUGGGCUACAUGGAGUUUUUA